CAAAAGAUAUUGAUUACUUGCUAAACAUUGAUGCGCAUCAAGCUGUAACUGCGCUAUACUCUCCCUAGAAGACCGACCUUUGCGAAAACCAAACUGAUUAUUAGGCAAAAGACAAUUUUGUUCUAUAAAGAACUCGAGACGUUGUUUUAGAAGCUGCUCAAAUAUCUUCCCAACACAAGACGUGAGAGCUAUAGGUCUAUAAGAGUCAGGGAGAUGAUAACUACUGCCCAGAGGACUGUCAAUAACUGACCAGUCACAUAAAAGAGCCAAAGAUGGAGUUACCAAAGUCAAGUCAAGAGCAUUAGGACGCCAAGAUGGAGAUCCUAUUGUGGUAGCUUGACCAUUAUUCAGAAUAACAAGACCAUUCUCAUCUAUAACCUCUAAAACAUCUUUACCUCGAGGCAAUGUAUCAACACAUCCCCACAACAUGUGAUGAGCAUUGAAAUCACCUGCAAAUAUCAUUGGCUCUGGAAUGGACUUAAUUAAACUGUUUAAAUUGUUUUUAUUAAAUGGAGGAUUUGAAUUGGAAGGACUGUAAAAACUCACAAUACUCAGUUCUUUGUUAUUAAUUUUAAUUUUAAUGCAAACAUUUUGUAGAGCACUAUCAUAAUAUGUAUUUAUGUUAGAAAAUGUGAUAUUAUUAUGAAUAAAAAUUGCUACACCAUUGUGUUUAUUACCACAA